rnacentral:rRNA from 1 species
UACGUAGGGGGCAAGCGUUGUCCGGAAUUAUUGGGCGUAAAGAGCGCGUAGGCGGUCCGAUAAGUCGGCUGUGAAAGUCCAGGGCUCAACCCUGGAAAGCCGGCCGAUACUGUCGGACUAGAGUCCGGAAGAGGCGAGUGGAAUUCCCGGUGUAGCGGUGAAAUGCGCAGAUAUCGGGAGGAACACCAAUGGCGAAGGCAGCUCGCUGGGACGGUACUGACGCUCAGGGGCGAAAGCGUGGGGAGCAAACAGG